AAACAGGAAUGCCGGGAAGAAGCAGAAAGCUACACGGAAAAAGGCCUUUCCUGUGCUUCAGCUCCCUGGAAACUGGCACUGCAGAAGGAGGCAAGGGUGUUAAAACGAGGAGGCAGUGUCAGGACAAAAUCCCAGGAUCUGGAACCCCAAAUACUUGGCUCGCGGGAAGUGCUCAGUAAACCAUUUUAAGGUCCUGGAGAAAGAUUCGCGCAAAAAGAGGUGUAGCGCGGGGGGAGUGUUUUGUCGUGAAAAGAACCAGCUUACAUUAAGGAAGAAAUGAAAGAGGAAAUUUUAAAAUGCUAAUAACGCAGCCUUCUUGCCUUGUCUCUAUCUCUGAUCCGGGUAAAAUGUAUACUCCUCUGCCCAUUUUUCUUUGUCUUCAUCUCCUGAAAUGUAGACAUUUAAUAGUGAGCUUCUCCCCUUGACCUCAUCACUCUGCUGUCCCCUGGGGAGCUCACCCAUUCAUUCCCACCGCUUCAGCCAGCAAAGGUAUUACAGUGAUUCCAAAUCGACAUCUCUAUCACAAAUAUCUCUCCUUAGCUCCAGGGCUGCAUUUCUGACUACCAGAUAGGCAUUUAUUUCCUGUGGCACUUAAAACGUAAUAUGGCUAAAAUGGAAUUCAUCCUUUUUUUCCAAAUUCUGCACCAGUUCCUCCAGUGACCCCUGACUGAGUGGCAAAGCUUUGUAAACUGCAUAUCACAAGGUAAAUGCAAAGUAUGAUCACCAUUCUUUUCCUUUAACCCAAUCAGAAUUCUACGUUUUAGUUGCAUCAAUUUGCUUUUGCUCAAAGAUGCGUCCUAUCCUGACCACCCCUUUUAAAUGUGCAAAAUUCCUAUUCCUGAUCCCCUUAUUCUGUUCUACUUUUUAUAUCACCUUCUAACAUACUAUAUAAUUUAACUAUUUAUGUUUGUUGUGUUACUGUUUACUGUCUGUCUUUCCCCACUGGAAUGUAAGCUCUGAGAGAACAGAGAUUUCUCUGUACCUAAAACUUUGACUGUCAUGUGAUAAGCAUUCAAUAAGUGCUUGUUGAAUGACAAAUGAAUUCCGGAAAAUAAUUGGGACAGUAUCCCUAUUUGAAAGGAUCUCUACAGAGAGUCCUUCCAAUCUUUUGAAUUGGGCUCAAAAAUCCCCAUGGACUUGCAUGUACUCUCACAUUUUGACAACCUUUUGAUUGUAAACAUUUUCUGAUAUGCUUGAGCUUCCUCAAAGCUGGAAAAACAAAUAAGACAUCUCAUUAGCUGGGCAUAGUAGCACAUGCUUGUAGUCCUAGCUACUUGGGAAGCUAAAGAAGGAGGAUUGCUUGAUCCCAGGAGUUCAAGGCUACAGUGAGCCAUGAUUAUGCCACUGCACUACAGGCUGAGUGACAGAGCGAGACCCUUUCUCUAACCAAAAAAAAAAAAAAAAAAAAGUAGAAGAAGACAUCUAAAAUUAAUCAUAUUUCCUCAACUUUACUUAUAUAAUUUUUGUCCUGGAUCUCAUUUUCCAAACCUUUAGUCAUGUUCAUUAUUCUUUUCUGGGCCCUUUCCAAUUUCUUCACCUCUAAGCCAGAAUUUUACACAAUACUUGAUGGAUGUCAAGUGCAGUAUAAUGCAUUCCUUACAAAUGUAGUUCUAUUUAUACAAUCAGGAAGAACCAGGAGAUAAUCUCUCUGUAGUUGACAGGAAAGUGCUUCCUUCUCCGCCCCUGGGAGGUAAUAAGGUAGAAAAGAUAGUUGACCAAAAAAAUCUUACAACUUUGUUUUGUCUAAAAUAAUGGUCAGAUUGAAAUUAGCCUUUUCAGAUCCCCUGUAAAAUUACCCCUUCUUCCAGACCAGCCUGGCCAACAUGGUGAAACCCCAUCUCUACUAAAAAUACAAAAAAUUUGCCGGGCGUGGUGGUGGGCCCCUGUAAUUCCAGCUACUCAGGAGGCUGAGGCAGGAGAAUCGCUUGAACCCAGGAGGCGGAGGUUGCAGUGAGCCGAGAUCACGCCAUUGCACUCCAGCCUGGGCAACAAGAGUGAAACUCCAUUUCCAAAAAAAAAAAAGAAAAAAGAAAAAAACCCUUUUAAUAUCAAUUUAUCUGAAGCAGAAAAUGAUUAGGAGUUUUCUUAUAGGACCUGAGAUCUGGUUCUUUUCCUUUAAAAAGAUGAAGUUAUAGGAAAAAAGAAAUUCAAUAAUGAAUCUGGUAUUUGUAUAAACCACCAAUGCAUUAUCCUAGUCUUCAGGGAGAUCACCCAUGUCCAGAUAUUGAGUUUUGUUUUCUCUAUUGCCCUCUUAAGAUGCAUUUCUCACUCUUUUUUUACCUCUUUACCCAUAUACUGAAUGCAAGAGAAACUAGCCUCGUUUCACAUUUUCUAGUAAUACAUGGUUAAAUUAUGUUCAGGGAGUGAGAUUUUAAUUGUCUUUUCUGUAGAUUCCAACCUGAAGGGAAGCCAAGGUAUUCAUAGUCACAGUUACCAAGGACUGUAUCAUUCAAAUAAGUACCUUGGGUUCACUCAUACAUGGUUCUUUAAGUUGCAGUUAAUCCCAAAGGUGCAAGGUACAGCUAGUGGUAGCACUGUUUUCAUGAGCUCUUAGAACAAAAGUCAAACCUCAUGAGAAAGUGCAUUUAAAUUCCUAAGUGACCCCAGAAGUGCUGUUUGUUUUUCCAAAGAAAGAGCCAUUUUCCAUAUGCACCUUGGAUAAAUGAUGUGGAUGUUAUUAAAGAUGGGGAUAAUGGUCUCUAAAGCGUUUCCUACUGAGAUGUUAUUUGUGAAGACUUAUCACGUUUCCCAGGCUAGUUCACUGAAUAGAGAAAGCACUGCUAUCCCAGACUCAUCUUCAAGCUAAUUGACUUAUUACAUGCCACCCAGCUCCACGAGUAUCUUCACACACUGCUUAUCCACGUCUCCAUUUUCCAUGCAGAUUCUCCCUCGAUCUGGCACACUGUUCUUUCCCACCUGGUUCAAAAUUCCACUUUCCUUAGGAAUAUGCUCCUGACUAUUAUAGAUAUUUAUGAGAUAUAUACCUAUUGUAGGCACAAAACCUUUCUUUGAGCUAUUUAUAUUUCGUACAACCUCUCUGGGUAACACAUUCUAGAAGUUUACUACCUGCCGAGUAAACUAGUACUUUCAAUAUUGAAAUCGCAUCCUGUUUACUUUUUUUUUUUCAUUACCAAAGUGGUAUGAGCUCAUUGUAAGAAAUUCAAACAAUAAAAAAAAGUAUUUGUCUUGAAG
rnacentral:lncRNA from 1 species